rnacentral:lncRNA from 1 species
UCAAGACAUGUUUUGUGUGUUGGGCCUCAGCAGCUAUCACGUCUAACGUCUAAGUGUUUGCUCCAUUUCAGGUUGUCAAAGCUUCCCUCUGAUGACGUUGGGGAUCUCUGCUGCUCGCCGCUCUCGGCCGUGACUCCCGCAAUAUUUCGAUGUUUACGUUCACAAUUUCCAUCUGUUGUUUCUGGAACAAUCAACAACGGGGGCCUGGAGAGAAGCACGGGAAUGAGUAUGGCCACAUUUUUGCCUCUGCAAUCCGAAGCUUUAGCCAGGACGCAGCUUAGAUGCACGGAAACACUGGAAACAGGGAAGCAAUUAAUCCAGAUGAGUCCAAAGAUCUGUUUCCCAGAGGUAUUUGAUGGGAAGAGCCAAGGAGGGAGGAAGUGUGGGUCUGCACCCCCAUGUUAACAAUGGCUCUCCUCAGACCCCCAGGCCCAGGCCCAGCCAUUCAUGAAACACCAUGGAGAUGUUAUUGACCUCAAGGUUAACUCUCCUCAGGUAAGCCCAGG